AUUCUCUGAAAGAAUUAAUGUGCCAUAUUCUAAAAUUUUAUAAUAAUACAAUUUACUUACGUUAGAUGUUACUACAUACACGGUAGCAACAGCAACCAAUGGAUAUUGCGAGGAAGGUUUUCAAAGUACAUUUGUAGUCAUCACCAUCGUCUCUCCCAAUAUCGACCACCCAUCACCGUCGUCAAGAACAACACCAUCAUCCUGCGAUCAAAAUCGGCAAACACCAUCUCAUCUCCUCCCAAUUUAAGGAUGUUGGUUGGGUAAAAUCUCAUCGGUUGGAUUUCCCCGUGUAUAAAACCAAGGGUCCGGAUGCAUCUUGCAAUUAAGUAAUGGCAUGUGAAGUGCGCAGAGGAAGUAAUCUGCAUGACAUUUGGGUACAAAGGCUGAAUCUUUAGUGAAAGAAGAACUGAGGUUAACGCCGCAGCGUCUUAGCAUUCCCAAAUGGACGUCCGUUUCCCGACGACAACUCCGACAGAGUCACUCCUCACCGUCGCCGCCUCAGUUUCCAAACGGCUCGGUAACUUUUCGGGUUGGUCAACUCGAUCGUGACCUCAUAAUUUCCAGAUUCUUUCUGUUUGCUACUUUUAAUCCUUUUUUUAGCUGGAUAUUCUUGUAAUUUUGAAUUGAAAAGAUUUAAAUACAAUAAUAGUGCAUUGUUAGUGUUUAUGGAUGUUUUGUUUCCAAUUUGUCAAAUUUUGCAUUGUUAGUGUUUUGAAGUUGCAUUGUUAACUUGGUGGUAUACAACUCUAGCUGAUUUUCUAAUCUGUUGGAGGGUUAGGCAUGUGAAGCAGCAUCUAAUAAUCGGUUCCUCCCUGUUUGGAGAGAUCAAACCUAAACUAAAAAAGGAUUCGGAACCACAAAUGCAUUAAUCGUUUUGAACGAUGCGCUAGUCGGGGGCGCUGACUCGAGAUUAUCUGAGUAUUUGGCCAUGGUUGCCUCUGUACAGCUCUCAACAAAAUGUGCUAGAAUUACCCUAUUGACUCGUCAAUGAGGCUCAAAUAUUAAUAGCAGAUGGCGAUUACAGCGUAUUUUUCAAUUGAGUUAAAAGUGUUACCAAGGAUUCUGAGAUUGUGUGACAUACGAAUUUGGUAUUACCGGAGUUGUGUUUUU